rnacentral:misc_RNA from 1 species
AUCAGAUACAGUUUGCAUCGAAACAGAAACCAUCUUAUCACUUAAAAAAGAAAUAAUGGAGACCACUAAUCUUCUUUCAGUUGGAGCCUUGUUUUUAUUCAUGGCUCCCGUCUGUCUUUCUGUGCCCUUGUGGGAUCGCGCCUCUUUAGCCUGUGCAUCUAUUCCCGGUAAACAAGUCCUAGACGAGGAGUCAGGUCGAUAUUUCCUGGUCCCCCAGACGUGUGAGCAGGGUGAGGUCGCCUGGAGAAUGACCCAGUCAUACGUUGCUCUGAGGUUCUGGAGACCCAAACCUUUCAGGGUGUGCUUCAGCAGCAAUACGCCCGUCAACUACGAGAAAUACAGCGUCUUCAACGCCUCGUUUGGAAACAUGUUCGUCGGAAGUCCAAAUAUACCGAAAAGUCUGUGUGAAUUCCAUCGGAAACCGUUUAGACAUCGUUCUUCUGGCCAAAAAAUCAUUCUACGUGAUGAGAGCCAAGUUCUCCGUCCAGUGUAACUCGUGAGGUGUUAGACCGAACGCUUCAUAACGAACCCAGUGACCAGUGCUGGUCAGUGACCCCGGUGACAGGCCAAAAUCUACAAAUGACCGGAAGUAACUUAAAAGGAUUCCGACGCCAUGACACGAAAAGGGAAGAGAGGAGUCCCCCAGCCAUGGCGUGUUGAUCUACAAUAGGACCACAGGAUCUCAGUUUAACGCAAAGAAUUUUUUCAAGCGAGCCUUUUUUUAUGUUUUGACAUAAAUUUAUUUAUUUUUAGCAAUAAAAUGUCCACAUCUC